UCUCUCUCUCUCUCUCACUAGUGCUGCAGAAAUUAGAGAAGUUUUCGUUUCUUGGACGAAUAUUUUGGGGUGCACUCAAAUGGAAAAAUAAGGAAUCAACAAUAGUCUUUGGUGUUCGUUUAAACGUUGUUGGAUUUUUUGGCCUACAGAUUGUUCGAUCACUAUAUCAGCUAAUUUAACUUGGGAGUUAGGAACUUAGGACAGUUGCGAAUGUGACCUACCGUAUAGGCUAAUGUAAUUUCUAUUGAAAGCUAUUUCUUCAAAUUAUGAUUAUGAGGGUAGUUUAUGUUAGGUUCUUUGCGUUACUAACAGUUGAUAGAGAGAAUUUAGACGUGAUUUUGACUGUGUUGACAGAGACGUUCAUCUUUUCAUGUAUAGAGCUUUAAGCACUGAUUGGUGGAUGAGUAAAAUUAAUGGUUUUUAUCAUACAAAUUUCAGUUUUAUUUUUACAAGUAUUAGCUAACGUAUGUUGCUGGUUUGCAGGUUUAUCUGUCUCUAUGUUGUGCUCUUAUCGCUUUGGCUGUUGGAGCUUAUCUUCACAUCCUCUGGAAUAUUGGAGCUUUCCUCAUGACCAUAGGUUCUAUUGGAAGCUUGGUUUGGCUACUCUUGACCCCUCCAUACGAAGAGAUCAUCUCCGAGUACACUGACUUCAUGGCGAAUCUGACCAGCAUCAAUGGAAGUCAGAUGGAUGAGGUUCAGAUGACCUUAAUUCGAUAAAUAUCCACCUUACUCGGACAAGUUCAUCUAUUUCGAUUUCAUAAUUGUUGAUUGAAUCUAUAUGUGCAUGUUUGUAACAUGUUGUUUGUCCAUCUCAAUCAAAUACCAUCACCUUUGACAGUGCUUGUUCUGUAUUUUAUUUUAUUUUAUUUGUAGAUUUUGGUUCAAUUAUCUCUGAAAGAAUUCUUUUCAAAAAAAAAAUCUCUGAAAAAAAUAUUAGCACAAUAACUGUUCAUACUUUACAGCCCUAUGUAAUCUUGCUUGUUGAAGUGAAUAGAUGUACCAUCUUUUCGUCUAGAACAGUUGAUCUGAGCAACUCAUCAUACAUAUAUGGCUUCUUUUCAUUUCAGAUUAACAAGUAAAGUUUUGGGCAAUCGAAGUCGCUGAUAGAGGAUCAUGGCAAAAAAGAUGACAAUCAGUUCCCAGAAAGUAGACUUGCCUUAUUAGUUCUUUCUUUUUUGUAUGUUUUGUUGGUUUCUCUGUUGAGAGUAAUUAAAAGUGUGAAAUAUUUUGCUCCUUUUA